AAAAACCUUCAGGGAAAGAGGUGUGAGUGUGUGUGAGUGUGAGUGUGUGUUCGGGCUGUGUUUAUGGAUUUCUUCUUUCUUUUUUUUGUGAAAGAGGAGAGAAAAGUUGCUGCGACCUUGAUGACGACUCACAGAUUUUAUGGUCGUGGAGAGCUGAUGAAGAUGCACAUGAACUCGUCUGUGUUGCCUUCAGGUUACCGUGCACUCAGUCCGAUAUAUGGCUUUCAGACUGUCCUGAGCGUCUGAUUGGUCGAGCUCUCUGCUGCCAGGCUCUUUCCUUGACCUGGGAAAUGUCACGAGGUCAAGAGGAGAUGCGAAGGACUCGGCUGCAAGGCAUUGUGGGACAGCAUCAUCUCCUUUUUCUUUAAAAACGAUGGCGCUGUGUUGAAGGAGUUGUGCUGUUGAUGAUGAAGACUGCUGGUGUUUGAACAACAAGGUCACUGUGUGGCUGAAGAAUAUUCUUCACGACAACAAGUAUCACAACCUGUGAAGAAGAAAAACAGAUAAUCUGACAGAUGGCUGCAUAAAAAUAAUGAAAAAGAGUCGUUUCAAGGCUGUAGCCAUAUUUUAACCAACGUGUAAACCUGUUACUCUCCUUCUGUCAUGAAUACUUAGUGUAGAAUAACCUGAUAUAUGAAGGAUUUGUACUGUAGAUUUAUACAUUUUGUGAUUGUUGGGAUUAAAUAUCAGUUGCAGCAUGUGUUUGAUGAUGUGUUAGCAAAUUACAGGGACAAUAAAACAUACGGGUUAUUUCUAUCAUGUUGGUUACAGAAUAUAGGUCACUCGUGCAACACUCAGUCAUCAGCAAACAGUUGUGGUUUUUGUUUGUGUGUUUGCUUGUUUUCUAGCAGUAGCUC